AUCAGAUGCAUGGGGGGCAAGAUGGAGCCCAUGUUCAUUCUGUUGAUCACCAAAAGGAAUUUCUUAAAAAUUCUAAUAGCCAAGCGGUGAUUAAAUAUGAUCUAGGCGACCUAAUUGUUGUUUUUGAGGCUCUUGAUCAUGAGAAUUCAAACCAACAAGUGGUCGUCUAUAAUGGCCAAUCUGUGGCUAAUUCUAUGCCAACAAAGAUACUUGGGGGGCAAGAUUACUCCUCCUACGAGCCAAAUUUUUCCCAAGUUUUCGAUGAGAAGUAUCUUUGUUCUUUUCCUACAAGCUCUCACAGGAGGGAUUUUUACCCUACAAAUUUUGAUACAUCGGAGCUUGGAAUGAAGCAUAGAUGGCCUCCCCCGUGGUCUUCUAGAGGUUAGCCAAACAUGGUGCUGCUAGCUUCUUUCUUUCUUUGCUUUUAAUUUUCUGUUAAUUUUUCGUUUCUAGUUUUCUUUUCAUUAAAAAAUAAAUAAAUAAAUAAAUAAAUAAAAAAAGAGAAAAAUGAAAAUACAAAAAGAGUUCAAGAUUGUGCAUCGCUAGAUGCGAAGGUAGUGUCUGGCCUAGCUGUGGCUUGAACCUAGUUUCUAAUAUAUAUUUGGAGGCCAUUUGACUUUAAUGUCGAGUUAAGAGAUCAUCUAUGGUAAAUCACGAUAAUGCUAAUUGGUAGAUUCUGCGCUAACCGGGGUGCUAACUAUAAAUUCCGCCCUAUAUAGAUAAGAGACCAUGCUAACUAGGAGAUGUUGAAGCUUUGGGACGCAGGGAUCUACACCUGGCAACUUCACCAAGAAGAACUUGACUGGAAAUAGAUGUUUAUCUGAGGCCAAAGUCAAUAAGAUUUGUAAAGCUGCUGAGAAGAUAGUGGUAUGUUCAUACUUUACAAUAGGACAAUAUUGCAACAGAUUCAAGUGCACACCAUGAUGAAGAUGGUAUUGAUGAAGAUGGUGCUGAAGAUGUUGCUGAUGAAGAUGAUGCAAACUCUAAUGAGGACUUCUAUUAGAUAUAUUGUUAGCUUCCUUGCUUAAGAAUGAUUGUGUUAUAAAGACCAAAUUUUGAAUAUUUAUCUUUUUCUGAACAUGUAUGAAUGAUUAACUAUGUUUCUUCUAAUGCCAUUGUUUUUUAUGAACAUUUAAU